rnacentral:rRNA from 1 species
GAUGAACGCUAGCGGCUGGCCUAAUACAUGCAAGUCGAGGGAGAAUGUUGGAUUCGUCUGACAUGAAACCGGCGCACGGGUGCGUAACACGUAUGCAACCUACCUUUAACUGGGGUAUAGCUCAGAGAAAUCUGAAUUAAUCCCCCAUAAGACUACGACAUGGCAUCAUGAUGUAGUUAAAGCUCCGGCGGUUAAGGAUGGGCAUGCGGUACAUUAGCUAGUUGGUGAGGUAAUGGCUCACCAAGGCUACGAUGUAUAGGGGGUCUGAGAGGAUGAUCCCCCACACUGGUACUGAGACACGGACCAGACUCCUACGGGAGGCAGCAGUAGGGAAUAUUGGUCAAUGGACGCAAGUCUGAACCAGUCAUGCCGCGUGAAGGAUGAAGGCCCUAUGGGCCGUAAACUUCUUUUAUUAGGGAAGAAAAAACGGGAUGCGUCCUGUACUGACGGUACUUAAUGAAUAAGGAUCGGCUAACUUCGUGCCAGCAGCCGCAGUAA